rnacentral:lncRNA from 1 species
UAUGACAUUAAAAAAAGCCCCCAAAAUAUUGGGUUGAUUAGGUUGAGUUUUAUUUACUCGAUUACUCUUUUACUUGUUUCAGUCAUUUGACUGCGGCCAUGCUGGAGCACCGCCUUUAGUCGAGCAAAUCGACCCCGGGACUUAUUCUCUUUUGUAAGCCCAGUACUUAUUCUAUCGGUCAAUUACUUAUUCUAUUUGUAAAAUAUAGUUUUGAAUUUGAUGCAGAAAGUGGAUCUAUUUUUGUGGUGGUGAUGGGAUGGGUAGGGUGGGUGGCUAGGAGUAUGGUUGGGUGCCAAGGGGGUGGCAACCUAAAAAAGUGCGGGUACCACUGGUCUAAAUAAAAUGAAAAGAAAAUUUUUUUAGAAAGAUGAAAGAAAUGUUAAAUUUUCAUCCAUUUGCUAGCAAUUUGCAGCAAGUGGAUGACUAUAAAGCCAUAGUGCUGUUGCUCCACCCUGGUGGCCUGGUGUGGUUACAAAAACCAUCAAGGUAGCAAGCUGGCAAAAUCAUUCCAACCCCAAGCAAAAUGCUUAACAGCAUUUUGUCUGUGUUUAUAUUUGUGUGGAGGCCUGUAGCUUAGUGGUUAGGGUGUUGCACUCGUGAUUGUAAGAUUGUGGUUUCAAUUCCUGGACCAGGCAACAUGUUGUGUUCUUCAGCAAAACACUUCAUGUUGUCCCAGUCCACUCAGCUGGCGAAAAUGAGUUGCCUUGCAACAGACCAGUGUCCCGUCCAGCUGGGGAAUGUAUAUGCCAUGAAAUUAGGAAACCGGACCUUGUGAGUCAGUGUGACUUGAAAUGGUAACUUUAUCUUUUGUUACAGAAGCCGUCACAGCCAGGAACAUGAGCUUCACAUCCUGUACGGCAUUUCUCUACCAAAAUACAAACAACAAUACCAUUGAUCUGAAACUGAAAUAUAAUACUCCCAUAACAUAGUAUAUUUAUGAUUAACUAGCAGUAUCGCCCGGCGUUGCUCGGGUUUGUUUCGACCCUUUAGAAUUGAAAUUUUUGGAAAGUAAAAAUUUUGCAUUAUGUAGCUUGUUAUUCUCUUUAAGUGAAUGUUUUUCUGGUUGAAAUACAUGGAAAAAUGGUGACACAGCAGUAAAAAAAAUCGUAAAAAAUAGGGAUUUUCAUAGAAAAAAAACACCUUUUUGAUAUAAAUAAUUUUUGGUGUUAACAUGGUCUGAUAUGAAUUUUUUCUUCUACGGAAUGAAGAGCAAGCCUUCUAUCAUACUCUCAAUUUUGGUCAUCUUGCACCGGAGGAGAUAGUGUUAGUUGAAGGCUACCAAACCUGCCAUACACAGACAACUUCAGCUUUAUAUAUAGAGAGAUUUAGGGUUUCAUACUUCAUUCCAGUAUGCUAUCAUAAUAUAUUUAGAUGCAUAGAAUCAUGCAUUUUCCUCUACAAAACCACUUUAAAAUAUAUUUCAGUAAAUGUAAAGCCAAACAUACUAAAUUUCUUUGUUUUUCCACAAAAUCUCCUCGAAAAUAGAAAGCAUUUUCUAUGCUAAAAUGCACAUAUAUGUACGUACAUACAUAUGUAACCUUUGUGUAGUACUUAAAAUGUACUAAUUCUCUACUUAAGUUUCAUGGUUAAGCUACAGUUUGAAUUCUCACAAAGCACAAAUAUGCCUCAAGCAAAACUAAAAUGGCAAGAAGAAGGAAUAGGAAAGAAUAUGAUGAAAGGCCACAACUCGUUUUUAUUAGUCAAGUUUUGCUCCUUGGGUUAGCUAUUUUCAAGAGAAAUAUAAUCAGAAAAGGUUGGAAAGGGCCAUUGUUAGACAAUUAGAUUUGUAUCAGAAAAUGUUUGUAUUAAAGUUGUGGUAAAUUGUGAAAGUGUAUGAGAGGGGAAGUUGUGGUGGUCAGUGUGGAAGGGAUUUUGUUUUGUUGUCAGUGAUGUUUGAAGGUAGUAUCUUGUUUGUGCAGGUUGUCUGUGUGUGUUGUGUUUGUCUGUGUAAUAUGGUGCUCUGUGAAGCUUUAUCUAAAGAGAUAUUUGAAGUGUCAAGUGUAUUAAAUAACAAAUAUCUUGUGAUAUAUAUAUAUAUAAAGUUGUGUUGCAGGUGUUCAUCUGUAUUGUGUGCACUCCAAUGAGUUAAUAUGAAUUUAUCAGUGUGUGGGCACCUAAUAAAAAAUUCGGUCCUGUUAUUC